GACGAACGCUGGCGGCGUGCUUAACACAUGCAAGUCGAACGGAAAGGCCCUGCUUUUGUGGGGUGCUCGAGUGGCGAACGGGUGAGUAACACGUGAGUAACCUGCCCUUGACUUUGGGAUAACUUCAGGAAACUGGGGCUAAUACCGGAUAGGAUCUCCUGCUGCGUGGUGGGGGUUGGAAAGUUUCGGCGGGUGGGGAUGGACUCGCGGCUGAUCAGCUUGUUGGUUGGGUAGGGGCGUCCCAAGGCUUUGACGGGUAGCCGGCCGGAGAGGGUGACCGGCCACCUUGGGACUGCGAUACGGCCCAGACUCCUACGGUAGGCAACGGUGGGGAACAUUGCACAGUGGGCGGGAGCCUGAUGCGACAACGCCGCGUGCGGGAUGACGGCCUUCGGGUUGUAAACCGCUGUCGCCUGAGACGAAGCGUGAGUGACGGUAAUGGAUAAAGAAGCACCGGCUAACUACGUG
rnacentral:rRNA from 1 species